rnacentral:tRNA from 1 species
AGGUAGCUCAACGGUGGAGCAACCGGCUGUUAACCGGUAGGCUGUGGGUUCGAGCCCCAC